GUCUCAGCUUGCAAGAGCUCAGUUCCCUUGUAUCUGUCUAAUGAUGGAUGGCAAAGAUGGCUUCUGUCUUCCAAAGCUCAAUGACCUUGUUUCAAGAGGCAGGAUGACCUCUUGCUGAUUUUGCCAUCCCCCUGUAUGUGACUACAUCCCCCAGGUAGGGGAAUACAGAUAGGGAACACAUCUUGAAGAACCCCCAGUUAUGGGUAGAUACCCUCUCCUCCUUCAAGUGCUGGUCCCUGUGGUGUAUUCCACAUGUGGGUGACUGGUAAGCAGUAGUCAAAUUGGAGCAGGCAUGAAGAUGCAGUUGGUAUGUUGGGUAUGAGGAUGCAGUCUGUAAUACUGCUGUCCCAACGCUGCAUCGGCAGAAGAGGUCUGGACUAAUGCUUCAUGAAAGUAUGGCUGGAACUGCAGGUUGUUGCCUUACAAAUGUCCAGUAUAGGUACUUCCUGAAGAGAUGCUAUUGAAGUUGCCUGUGCUCUAGUGGAGUGAGCCCUCAACCUGUCAUGGGGGAGGAAAACAUGCCAACUGAUGAAGAGUGAUACAUCCAGAGAUCCACUUAAAGAGUCUCUGAGCAGACAAAACUAGUCCCCAUGAACACUGCUGUAGAGACAAAUAGUUUAGGCCUUUUCUUAAUUGGUUUUGUUCUAGAGCCUAUCAGAUGUCGAGGGAAUGAAGUCUUCUCAUGCUUCCAACGAGGAGAGAGAGGUUUUGGGAAGAAUACUGAUACUACUUUGGUUGUGUGAAAGCUGCUUUAUGAUUGAGUAAUAUUAACUAUACACAGUAGUGAAAGAUACAGAUUACUAUUGGCUGUUACUGAUGCUUCAAACCUGUCAAAAAGAUACAAGCUUGUUUGAGAGCCAGGUCCAUCAAUGGAGACAUCCCAUUCCUCUACUGACUGGGGCAAGCGUGUGUUUUGUCAGGAUAACACAGCUACAGAGUUGAUUAAUCCAGCAGAAUCAAAAAGAGAGCAUGUUGGAUCUGGCCAUCAAACUCUAGCAGAAAAUAUCAGAUGUUUCCAUAAGAUGAAUGCACUUCCCAUAUCCACAGACAGAUGAUGAGAUAAUGGUGAUGGUACUGAGAAGACUUUGAACAAGAACAAUGGAUGUUGGCACAAAUCCUGCUCUGUCAAGUUUUAAAAAAAGCUGAAAAACCUGUGGAUCACCCUGACGAACUAUAGAGGAAAUACACAUGUCUAGGUGACCAAAACAAAGGACCUCCAGAAAAAGAAGGGUGCUUUAUUUGUGAAGUGAACAUACUAUCAGAAGACCUCCAUGAAGCUUCUACUCUCAGCAUUGAGAGUUGAGUCCACAACUGUGCACCUGAGCUGUAAGACCAGUGUUUGCUUGCAAAACUAAGUGCAGGGGACUUAGUGGCCCAAGAGACAAGGUAUCAUGCAAGAUGUUUGGUCUCUCUCUACAACAAAAUAAGGGGAAAGAAAUCUGAGCAAAGCAACACAGAGAAGAUAUCACAUGGGAGUGCCUCUUCUGAACUGACAUAGAUUGAAGAGACAAGACUGAAUGAAAACGUGGGUCCAGUGUUUAAACUAGCUGUCCUCGCGAUGCUCUAUACAGCUAGAUCAGAACAGCUGCCUGUGCGCAUUCACAACACAGUGAAAUAAAAUCCCAUAUCCUUUCACACAUUCCAGCUCUCCAAGCACACAAAGAAGGAUCUGAUGUGCUCCUUGCCUUCAACCAGGGCCUUAAACAUGCCCUCUGAAGUGCAUGUGAGGAAAACUGUGAUGAAGCAGCAUUUCACCUGCCCCAAACAGUAAAAAUUAUUCAAAGGGACCUGUUUUAAAUAAAAACACAGUCUACUUGUAUCAUUUGACCCAGGAUGCCAAGCAAAAUCUGUGCUUGAGUCCCUACUGGCACUGAUGUCCAUAAUAUUGUGCGGUUCAAACAUUAAAACUCAGUCAGAACAAGUUUCCAUUCAUCCAGCUAUCCUUAUUUUGGCACAGCUGCUGCAGUAGAACAGCAAUAUCCAUUGCCGUGAAGGAACAGAAAGUUUGUACCACAACAAAGCUCGAGAAAUGCCUUUUCCAGUCUACACUGGUUUGACAAAUCAUGCACUAACAUGAAAAAGUGAGCUAGUAGAUAGUUCCUUUAAACUUGGAUUGUCCACUAUCUCCUAUGACAGUGUGUUUGCCUCUCUACCAGCAUGGCAAACAAUGCGUGCCAACACUCUGAGGACAAGAAUGUAGUCUGUCUGCUCAAGCUCCAUGGUGGUCUGUUCACUGUUGUGGCCAUAGACAGCAUAGACCACAAUCCUAGUUCCACCACAGCAACAGACUCCUCCCAGGGAACUGGGACAUCACGUUUUCAGCAUCCCAGUACUGAAGUGGAGGGAGCAGUCCAUAGACUUCCCACCCUGGACUGUGAGACUGCAGCAUCAGUGAAGAAGUCUGUAUCAUCACUUCCUGAGUCUUAUAGAAUUGUCCUUCCAUUGAUUUUGAAGAAAAUCAAUGCUGCCAUCCCUGAUGCAAAUGUUGAAAUGAAAACAGACUGCCAAUUGAUUACGCAAGCCCUGCAAGAAGAAUGCAGGUGGCUUGAACAAGUAAGGCAAGCAGCAAGUCUGGAUACCUUCAAUGGAGAUCAAGACAUUUCCUGGGCAGCUUACCAUCCCAGACUUCGUCCCAUCCAUCACUGUGCUUCUUCCCCUCUUUCCAGAUGACUCCAAGUCUGUGCCAUGGAUGUGAUAAGGAAUGCUGUGCACCACCUAAACCCAUACCAAGUGCCGUGAUCACUGUGGAUCAACUCCUUUUCAGCAUAAUCAAACGGAUACAGUUGACCUGGUCCGCUGGAAAUGGAAAGGACAAAUUUGUCAUUAUGUUGUGUGGUCUUCAUCUGGAAAUGGCAAGUCUAAAGCUGACUGAGAUUGGCUAGAAGACAGUGGAUGGACAGAAGCCCUUGUUCAGGCCAAAGUGGCUUCCCCAGGAACAGCUGACUCCUUCCUGAAAGUGUCUCAUCUCACAUGUGCUAGGCGGCCCACCAGGGGUCAGUACAUCUUGCUCUAAAAUGCAUACACACAGUAUACCCAAGGUCUCAGGGAAGAUGAGGCCACAUGGGGUAAUAUAAAUGCUGUGGCAAGUGGAAACUAGAAAACCAAGCGUUCCACUUUUGACAUACCACACUUAAUCUGGAGCUUCUCGUCUUGACCUAUGUGCUGUCAAUCUGUGAAACUUUGCUUGAUACAUGGAAUGCUUUGGAAAGCUGUCACUCUGGUUCUUUGCAUUAGAUCAUACUAAUUAUGCUCAAUAGGUGCCUGUUCAUCCUCGAGCUACAGCAAGCCUUCAUACAGUGCAUCCAGACACAGCUAAAGAGUUCCUAAACAGAAAAUCCAGUUUGCAAGAACCAGCAUGUUUUCUCUGUAAUUGCACUUGACCAAGCUCAUGAGCAAAAUAAUGCUAUAAUCAAAGGGGAUGGUGGAGCUGUUGGUCUAACACAAUGUCCAGAGGCCCUUCGGCAGUGGAUGAUAGUGGGACCAGAGGUAGCCAGGGUGAUAGGAGAAUCUGAAGCCACAGCAGAGAAAGGAACCACCUGAAAAGGGUCUAACACCAAAGCACCGUGAGCAGAUGAUAGUGCCCAGGCUUCGUUUACACAACAUGUCAAGGCAUUUGUUGAGGUCAUAGAAGACAUGGGCAACCUCUUCUCAGAGGAGAGUGUAGACUUAAUUAAACUGGACACUGAAGACAUUGCAGACCCUUCUGUGAUUGUCUCUGCUAGGGAGUUUGAGGAGCUCAAGCAGUAGCAGUACACCUCAUUUAAAAGAGAGAUUGCAAGACAAAACCAAGUCAUUAACAGAGCCUAUGAAGCAAAAUAAACUCCCCUUGUUCAGCAGACCUCCUGAGCUCUCCCCUUGUUCAGCAGACCUCCUCAAAUUGGAGCUCUUCUUCUUGAAAAAUGGUGGGGAAUGCGAUGUUUCAGUAUACUGAAGACUGAAAGAUUUCCUUGUUUCUUAAUUGAUUUUAGGAUGCAUGUUUAUGUAAGCAGCCUUUUCAAUCUUUUUGAGAUGCAGAAAGAGGAGGUUACUCACCCUGUGCAGUAACUGACAUUCUUCAAGAUGAGUGUCACUGUGGGUGCUCCAUUUCAGGUCAAGGUAAGGAAGUAUGAGGAUUCCUUUUUCCCUGAGAUGUGUUAUUACAACUGCUAGCACCUUGGAGAAGACACGUUGUGCGGUGGAAAGGGAGGACCCUGUAUUGGUAGUGUUGCUCUCCCACAGCGAACCUGAGGAAACGUUGAUGGGCAGGGUGGAUAGAGACAUGGAAAUAUGCGUCUUGGAGGUUGAGAGUUGAAAACCAAUCUCCUUGCUCCAGCGUCGGAAUCAUCAUUGGGAGAGUAACCAUCUGGAAUUUCUGUUUCUUGACGAACUUGUUCAAACGUCGAAGAUCGAGGAUAGGGUGCCAACCGCCGCUUUUCUUUUCCAUCAAGAAGCAGUGAAGUAAAACCCUUUCCCUCUGUGUUGAGGAGGUACCUCCUCUUUUUUUCCCCGAGAUAUAGGAGAUGUUAUGCACCUCCUGACAGAGCAAUUGUCCGUGAGAGGGGUCCCUGAAGAGGGACGGGGUGGGAGGGUGGGAGGGAGGUAAGGAGAAAAAGCCUAACCCAAUCUGAUAAUUUCCAGGACCCAUCUGUCCGUAAUGAUGGUUUGCCAGUUGGCCAGGAAUGGACGCAAACGGUGUCCAAAAAAAAAAGCUUGGUUGGAGCUGGCACUGGAGAGGGUGCGAGGUUUUCUAUACCCUCGACAAAGACUUCAAAUUUGUUUAUUUGGGUUAGUAGGGUGGGUCGCCGUUGUUUGUGGAGGGUGACAUUGUUGGUUCCUGGGCCUAUGUCAUUGUUGCAUAUCAUAUUGUCUGAAAGGUGGAUGUUGCACAAAGGUAUGGUAACAUGGUCGUUGGUAUGGCUGAUAUCUGUAUUGUCUCUUCUUUGAGGCAGGUGUUUGGAUGCCUAAGGAUCAGAGAGUGGCAUGGGAAUCCUUCAUGGAGUGAAGGACCUCACUGGUUGUAGCAGCAAAGAGCUUGUCUCCAUUGAAAGGGAGAUCUUCAACCUUAUUCUGUAUCUUCUUCAGAAAGGAGGAAGAAGCAAGCCAUGAGGACUGCCGCAUGACAACGGCCGUGGCUGUGGAUCUGGCCGCUGUGUCCGCAGCAUCGAGGGCGGCUUGAAGAGUCAUGUGGUAGAUCAAUUGGCCCUCAGACACCACUGCUUUAAAUUGUUGUAAUUUAUCCUCUGACACAUCAUCAAUAAAUUGCAUUACCUUAGCAUAAUUUUUGUGGUCAUAUUUUGCUAAGAGCGCCACAUAGUUCGCUACUCUAAAUUGCAAAGUGGAAGAAGAAUACACUUUGUGGCCAGAGGAGUCCAGUCUCUUGUUAUCUUUGUCUGAUGGAGUGGAGCAGAAGUGUUAGUAUUUGUUUUUCUGAUUGGCCGCAUCGACCACUGGCGAAUUAGGUGAGGGGUGCGUAAAUAGAAACUCAGAACCUUUAGAAGGAACAAAAUAUUUUCAGUGGGUGUUGUUAUAGCUGAGGUCUGCCAAAUAGUUUUAGCAGGUUCCAUAAUGUCCCCAUUAAUUGGUAGAGCUAUUUUGAAGGCGGUCGUAGCUUGCAGGAUGUUGGUAAGCUGAUGGUGUGUUUCAGGGACCUCCUCCCAGGUAAUCUUGAGCUCUUCUGCUACUCUGUGAAACAACUCUUGAAAGUGAGCGAGUUCAUCAGUAGCGGGAGGUGGUGGGGGUACCAUGGCAUCUUGUGGUGUUAUCACUAUAGAAGAGGUUUGUGGGCAGUGUCCUCUGUAGGGGUGGUGGCCACUUCAGGUCUUAUCUGGGUUUCAGUGUAAGCAGGCAGUGGGGAGGGUCUGACAGCUUUCCUCAGGGCAGCCCGCGGAAGACCUGAGUGUGGUGCAGUGUAGGUCCAUGGGCCCCAGUGUGGCCAUUGCCCUGGAGGAGAGGGGGGGGAACAGGUAGUCCCAUCCAGAGAUUGCCAUACUAGUGUGAAUAGCCUUGAGGAUAUGGAGAGCGUGCUGUAAUGCGUCUCCUGGUUGUAGGUAACUGACUCUGGGAGAGUAUUGAGAGAAAAACAACUGGUCAUCAUAUUCCUCUUCCUCCACCCACACUUCAUUGGAGGGGUUUGAAGUGGUAGGAGAGUACUGAAGGUAGGGUGCUAAAGGUCUCAGUGAGAGGCUGGUGCUGAGAAGAGGAGAGUCAGGAGCAUGGGACACCCCUAAAUCCUCUGGCUGUAAAAGCUGCGGUGGAACCGAGUGACCAGGAGUCGGUGCCGGUGUAGCUGGUGGAGGCAGAGUCUCCUGGGGCGUCUGCUGGUGCACCAAAGGGUGUCCCGGGGGCACAGGCUGGCUCCGCAGAGUAGGAGCCCCUGAGGUAGCCACUGCAAGGGAGGCUGCAGACGUCAGGAGGUUCAGUGCUGAGAGCGGCGGCUGUAAAAGCGGCACUGGAAGAUCAAAGGACGGUGCCGCAGCCACCGCUUGUGCUGUCGGCACCGUAACAGCUCUCAGCACUGCACUAGCAAAGGUGGCCGUAGGAGAGCUGAAAGAGGCGGGCAACUGGAAGCCCUGAGCCUUGGCACCAUGUAGUGGGGCAGCCAACUCACGGUCGAUGCCCGAGGUAUCUGCCGUGUGGAAGGUGCUGAGCCGCGGAGCCGCAGUCAGCAGAGACCGGAGAGCCAGUUUUAAUUUCUUCCCCAAGGAACGACUCCUGAGGGGAGAGGAAGCUGGCCAAUUUUUUUGCUUUUCCUUUGCCUCUGGAGGGUGUCACAGAGGUUUGCUGGCCAGGGUCAGAGGCAGGUCUGAGGGAGUUUUCCUGCAGCAGCAUUUUAAGCCUGAGCUCGCUGUCCUUGCGGGUUCACGCUUUCAAUUUGUUACUGUGGACGCAUUUUGGGGGUACAUGAGACUCCCCCAAACAGCGUAUGCACUGUGAAUGCCCGUCUGAGAUGGGGAUGGCAUCCUUACAGGAGGCGCAUCUCUCGAAGUCUGGGGAGCCAGGCAUCUCCGAAUCCGCGGAGGGGUUUUUUGGGUUUUUUUUUAAGAAAUAAAAGUAACAGCUAAUGUAACUUAUCUAAGUAUUAAUUCUAAUGACUGAAACUAUCUAACUAAACUGAGAAACAAACUACCUAGCUAGUCUCAAAGAGCACUGCUGAACUCCGUCUCUAGCCGGGGAGGGUAGCGAAGGAACUGAGGAGCCCGGGCUGUGCACGCGCUAUUAGAACACUGACAGCUCGAGAGGCAGGCACAGCGCGUGUGCAGCCCGUAGGCUACUGCUGUAGAAAUCUCCGAUCGAAGGUGCUGGGACGCACCUUGACUUGAAGUGGAGCACCCACAGGGACAUCUCUCGAAGAAGAAUAUCCUGUUAAGCACAGACAGAUCUGAAAUAUGGUUAUUAGCAAAAAGAAAUGUAACUUUCUGUUCAUGAACAGAAACUUGUAAACUUAUUGUUAUAUUUCUAUGUAAUUAAUAUUUUUUGUAAAUACUCCUUGGUGGCACGCUACAGAGCAUGUUAAUUCUAAAUAUUUUUGUAUAAUCUCAAGCCAUCACAUUUCAUUGCUUUAUUUUUAGGACACCUAGGACAAUAGGAAUAGAAAAAUAUAAAAUAAAAUACAAAAAAAACCCAGUGGGAUGUUUUAAUACCAUAAACAAUCAGUAUCUGAAAAACAUUAGAAAAAAUGAAUUCAGAAUUUAAAAUGGCUGCCACGGCCAGCAUGGGAUGAGUUGGCGAUGGCCUCAUAUUUGAAAAUCUUUAUAGGGCAUGCCUUAUGACUCUGGGAAAUUUCAUGCUUUUAUCAUAAAAUCCACAAUUCUUUCACAAAUCUGAUCAGCUGUAUGUGAGGUAAAAGAGUAAAAUGAAGGACUAAUUUAUUAGACAAAGAAAAAAAUCCCUCUCCCUAAAAACCCAUAAAAUUGAGCUCAUUAUAAACCUAUUGGGGUAGUUGCUGGGAUUUAGCCAGUCUGUACAGAAUGCAGGGUAGCGAGUAUGUGGAAAACUGGCCUAAAACUUACCUUUGCACAUCUCUGUUGUGAUGACUGUGUGCAGACGCAGUCCUUUUUGUAUUCUUGUUCCUUAUCUAAACACAUUAGUAGGGUAUGUAUCUUGGGGCAUAUUGUGCCAAUUUUUAGGCGAAGAUUCCCCUUUGACUUCACUGAGAGUUCAUUUUAAGAUUCCCCAUUGACUUCACUGAGAGUUCAUUUUAAGAACUGAUGGUGCGAUAAAGCUUUGGUUUCUGAGAACCUGCAGUCUCUUCCACUCUUAAAUUGUACUUGGGAGUUUUGUAACUUUUAUUUGUAGAGUUGGUCAAAAUUUUUCUCAAAAAAAGAAUUUUUUGUGAAAAAUGGCCUAUUUUAGGAAACUAAACUUUUUGUGAGAACUUACUGGCAUUAUCCAUUUUUUUUUUUUGCUUUUUGAAAAAAUAUUCCCUGGCAUUUUUAAUCCACAUAUUAUUAGCAAUGUUAUUGAAAUGUUUAUAAAAAUCAUUUUAGAAAUCAUUAUUGAAAUGACUAGUUAACUGAAAACUCUGUUUCCAGUAAGAAAAUGUGAUGAUCAGGAAAUGAAAAAUUUAGAUUUUAAUAAAAAUUAAUAAUAUUUUGAUUAAAAACUCACAAAAAACACCAUGAAAAAUGGUUCCAUUUCAAACUCUGUGAAACAAAAACAACUUUGAAAUUUCAGGGUUUUUUGUUGUUUUUCGUUUUGCUUUUGUGGAUGUUUUUUCCUCUUCCCAGUUAUUUUGUCUAGUUAUUUAUUGACUUUAAAUUACUUUCACAUGAAAUGAAUAAUACAGGGCAUUUCUCUGGCUACACAAGGGAGACUGAGUGUUUUCCCUCCAAACACUCCCAUAUUUUUGUACAAAUACAAAGAGUAUAUAUAGUAGCCUGGCCUACAGCAGCAGAGCCUGGAACAGUCUGCCUCAGAAAUCCAUGGCCACACAAACAGGUUACUCAAUUCUAGUGCUGUAACUCCCCCCAAAGACUACGCAGUCCUUGUGUGUGUAUUUGUGAGCCGGGAGGUAGCAGGGGAUAACAGAGGGUAUGUCUACACUACAAUUAAAGACCUGUGGCUGGCCUGUGCCUGCUGAUUCAGGCUCCCAUAGCUUGGGCUAAGUCUGUGUUUAAUUGAGGUAUAGACGUUUGGACUGAGGCUGGACCCUGGACUCUAGAACCCUGCGAGGUAGGAGGGUCCUAGAGCUUGGGCUGCAGCCCAAGCCCUAAUGUCUACACCACAAUUAAACAGCCCCUUAGCCUGAGCCCUGGGAACCUGAAUCAGCUGGCACAGGCCAGCCAUGGGUGUUUAACUGCUGCAUAGACAUACCCUGAAGGGCUGCAGAUGGGCUUGGGAAUCAGGAGUUGUUGAGCAGGAGAGACAGGGAGUUUCUUUGCAUGGACUUUCCUAACCUCAGGCUGCUACCUACCAUGACAGGCUAAGCUCCUAGAGACCAGCUCAGCCUGCUGUGUGCAGCCAGCACCCUCAGCCUACCAGGCUUUGAAUCCAGGCAUUCCGUGCUGGAUUCUGUCUUUCCUACUUCAGUAGGCGCACGCUAGGACUGCAUCACCUCCUUCAGCACCUUACCUCUUUGUUGGCAUAAACAUCCACUGUUUAAUUUUAAACAGUGAAGACGACAUGUAUAUGUACAUACAAAAUAGACACAUACCAAACGGCAUAAGUAAAAAUAGGCAGUACUGUCUGUGUCAGGCAUUAUGCAAAUAGUAGAAUGUAGAACCCAUUACCUCAUUUUAUACCAUUGUUAUAGCAGCAGGUGUGCAACCAACAAAGCAAAUUGCUGUGGGCCAGAGAUGGAGAUAUGAGAAAGGGUAAACAUUCAGUGAAGGAAGAGAGUGAAUUACAGGGAUAAAGCCUAGUACUUUUAUACCAGAGCACUCGCUAGAGAAGAUUGUUAGUAAGAGGGGACACAAAUAGGAUUCAGUAACUUUUCUAAUAUUGUUAGAACAUGCAGAUCAGUUUUAAGACACCCUCUCAUGCCCCAAUUUAAUUGGUUAUUAUCUUAUAAUUAACGUGGCAGCCUGGAGUCUUUUAUUAGCUUGAUCAUUUUAGUAUAAGAGUUGAGCUGAGAAAACCAGUUACUUACUGAAUUUAUGCCUGUCAGUCAAACCAUUGUUGAGAGGCCUAAUACAUGAGAGGUUUUGUUCUGAUGGAAAAGGGAGGGAAAUCUAAUUAAAACCAACAUUACAGUUUGCUAGGAAUAACCUGGGUCAUACUAACAUAACAACAGGAUCAUCAGAACAUUUUCUUCACAAUGGCACAUCAUAUAGCAUUCUCCUGGUUCUAG